rnacentral:lncRNA from 1 species
AAGGGGGAGAAGAGUAGUGGUCAAAUGGGACUCUAAGGCCUUAGGAAUUUCGGCUUAGGGGUUUUCUCUCGGUUUUGGUCAGUUUGUCAUCAGUUUCUAAAAUUUUGAAGGCUCUUUUCUUUCUCUGCUCUAUUGUGUCGAAUUUGCAAGUGGCCAUUUGUGCAUUUUGGGUGUUCGAUUCCUACCAUUUUGGUAAAUUAAACUAUUUUGUUUUCAAGUCUAUUCUUCUCCCCCUCUUUUGCACCAACAUUUUCCGAAACCUCCUCUUCUUCUCUAUUCUAUUCAAGUUCAACCAUCUGUUUGUUUCAUCCCUUCUUGCCUAUUGAUUAUUUCGGCCAAAUCUAU